GACGAACGCUGGCGGCGUGCUUAACACAUGCAAGUCGAACGGAAAGGCCUGUCCUUCCUUGUGUUGGACGGGUACUCGAGUGGCGAACGGGUGAGUAACACGUGAGUGAUCUGCCCCCAACUUGGGUAUAAGCCUGGGAAACUGGGUCUAAUUCCCGAUAGGACUGCAGGGUGGUGCCUGUGGUGGAACACGAUUUUCUAGUGGAUGGGGAUGAGCUCGCGGCCUAUCAGCUGGUUGGUGGGGUAAUGGCCUACCAAGGCGGCGACGGGUAGCCGGCCUGAGAGGGUGGAGGGGGACAGUGGGACUGAGAGGCGGCACAGAGUCCGAGGGGAGGCAGCAGUGGGGACGAGAGGAAGAUGGGCGGAAGACUGAUGAAGCGACGCCGCGUGGAGGAUGACGGCCUGCGGGUUGGAAGCACCUUUCGGGCGUGAAGAAGCCGUUUGGUUGGAAGGGUGGUGACGGUAGCGGUAGAAGAAGCACCGGCUAACUACGUG
rnacentral:rRNA from 1 species